rnacentral:rRNA from 1 species
UACAGAGGUCCCAAGCGUUGUUCGGAUUCAUUGGGCGUAAAGGGUGCGUAGGCGGCGCGGUAAGUCGGGUGUGAAAUCUCGGGGCUUAACUCCGAAACUGCAUUCGAUACUGCCGUGCUUGAGGACUGGAGAGGAGACUGGAAUUUACGGUGUAGCGGUGAAAUGCGUAGAUAUCGUAGGGAAGACCAGUGGCGAAGGCGGGUCUCUGGACAGUUCCUGACGCUGAGGCACGAAGGCCAGGGGAGCAAACGGG